rnacentral:rRNA from 1 species
GAUGAACGCUGGCGGCGUGCCUAAUACAUGCAAGUCGAGCGAACAGACGAGGAGCUUGCUCCUCUGACGUUAGCGGCGGACGGGUGAGUAACACGUGGAUAACCUACCUAUAAGACUGGGAUAACUUCGGGAAACCGGAGCUAAUACCGGAUAUAUAUUGAACCGCAUGGUUCAAUGGUGAAAGACGGUUUUGCUGUCACUUAUAGAUGGAUCCGCGCCGCAUUAGCUAGUUGGUAAGGUAACGGCUUACCAAGGCAACGAUGCGUAGCCGACCUGAGAGGGUGAUCGGCCACACUGGAACUGAGACACGGUCCAGACUCCUACGGGAGGCAGCAGUAGGGAAUCUUCCGCAAUGGGCGAAAGCCUGACGGAGCAACGCCGCGUGAGUGAUGAAGGUCUUCGGAUCGUAAAACUCUGUUAUUAGGGAAGAACAAAUGUGUAAGUAACUAUGCACGUCUUGACGGUACCUAAUCAGAAAGCCACGGCUAACUACGUG